UUUUUUUUGUGUUGUUCUU
rnacentral:sRNA from 1 species